rnacentral:rRNA from 1 species
CCUACGGGAGGCUGCAGUGGGGAAUAUUGGACAAUGGGGGGAACCCUGAUCCAGCCAUGCCGCGUGUGUGAAGAAGGCCCUCGGGUUGUAAAGCACUUUCAGUGAGGAAGAACGCCUGGUGGUUAAUACCCAUCAGGAAAGACAUCACUCACAGAAGAAGCACCGGCUAACUCCGUGCCAGCAGCCGCGGUAAUACGGAGGGUGCGAGCGUUAAUCGGAAUUACUGGGCGUAAAGCGCGCGUAGGUGGCUUGAUAAGCCGGUUGUGAAAGCCCCGGGCUCAACCUGGGAACGGCAUCCGGAACUGUCAAGCUAGAGUGCAGGAGAGGAAGGUAGAAUUCCCGGUGUAGCGGUGAAAUGCGUAGAGAUCGGGAGGAAUACCAGUGGCGAAGGCGGCCUUCUGGACUGACACUGACACUGAGGUGCGAAAGCGUUGGUAGCAAACAGGAUUAGAUACCCUAGUAGUC